CAGGGACACAGUCAGGCGUCAAAAUUUAAGCUGUUCCUGGGGUGCUGAGUUCUGGACUGGAGGCUUCCAGCAAGGCAAUACAUUUUGGACCACUGGAUUUCCUUGUUAUAGACACUGGUUGGAGUCCUGAGUGAAUCAUCACACAGUGCUGACGGCUGACCCAGGAUCCAAUGGAGUGAACAGUCAACUAUGGACUGUGUUGCUCAACAGCUGAUGAGUGAGUGGUUGGAGUGAUUACGCCCACAGCCAAA
rnacentral:lncRNA from 1 species